rnacentral:lncRNA from 1 species
AUGAAGAGAUCUUGCCAAGUUAUGGAAAAAGAAAAAUGGAAAUGUAAUGAUGAAGUACAAGGAAACAGUUUGGCUGUGAUGCAGCGUGAGGAUGCUCCACCUUGCUUGGAAAAUAAAGCGCUUCAGUCCCGCAAAGUUUCUUCAAAGAAACCCCCAGCCUGGAACUGGUGCGGCUCUGCAGAGGGAAACGCCGCACUGUACUUCAAAGCGGAGAAAAUCUGCAGCUGCCGGGAGCCCGCCUGCCCCAGGAGGUGUCACUGUUGGGACUGGCAGGGUGAGCUCCGGAGCUGCUGUUUGUUUUCCAAAGCCUACAUUGACCGUGAGGUAGGAAUUGACCUGUGCUACACCUCCCCUCCCCACCCCAGCCAGCCUGGGGAAAGGGGAUCGCAGGUAAAACGAGCUGGUGGCUUCUGUGUAGGUAUGGGCAUAUACAGAAGCGAGAUAAGAUACUCGGCAUUCUGUUUUUUAUUUUAAGAAAUACUAGUUAAGCCAGGCUGGUUACAGUAGUAGUUUUCCUUGUUCUCAAAGUGCUGGUAAAUCACACCAAAUCAGAGAGAAUAUGUCAGGAUAUAACUUCUGUUUUUUUUCCUUUUAAUACUCUUUGAGGUGAAGAACAAGUGAAUUCGUGAUGUGAUAUUUGCUGAGUAAAUGUUUUUUCUAAGUAAUACUCUCUCUUUAAAUUUACUAAAUCAUAUGCUUUCAGAAAAAAAGUACAUACUUCUGGAUCACCCAAGGAUUGAAAGUUUUCUAACCAUAAUGCAAAUAAUCUGCAAUGCAGACUUUAUAGAUAUAUAUAUAUACACAUGCAUACUAACUUCAAGGUUAGGAAUUAUGAUGAUGACUAUUUCAUGGCAAAAAAUAUGUAUAUUUUUAACGUUAAAUUUAGUUUUUGGAGUAGUCUACUACAGCCUGAGGUAAGUUGCUUCCAUGGUUAAUUAUAUUCAUCAUCGAUGUUUUGCAUUUUAUUUCUAGUAUCAGUGUCAUUUUUCAGCCUUCAGCUUGGGGAUUUAUUUCGCCAGACCUCCCAUUUUGCCCAUUUUCUUUGCGUUUGUGUGCUAAGAAGUUUCAUGUCUCCACAACAGUAAGGGAAGAUCUACCAAGUUGCAUCUUUUGCCUAGCACUUAUUUCUUAUUCUCAUGGUUUGUGGUUGAUAUCUGGACAUACGCAUUCUAGGAUUUUUUUUUUCAAGUCAAUUUAGUUUUAAAUAGCUUCAAACUCUCUUCAUAUUUUUGUGUGAAGGACAAAGCAGAAACUCUUCCAGACGAACUGCUGAUGUUUGCACAGAGCACACUGACCAUUGCUUAAGCUAUGAAAUUUUACUUCCAAGAACACAGAGGGGGGAUUUUCAAGUUCUUUGUCUUUGUUUUGUCACUGUGGAAAGCCCAGAGAAGCAGGGUUCCUCUAUCAUUCAGUAACUUCCGUUUCUUGUGCUCUUGAUGUAAUUUCUCUGAGCUUUGAUGUAUGUUUUACUCUA